CAGGCUCAAAUUUUAGGUUCUUUUGGGCAAGUAUAAACAGCCAAAGAGCUUUCCUUUUUAGGAAAAGCCAAGAGUCCAGAGGGAGUUUGGAGUGGGGCCCAGCAGCCCCGUGUUCUUGGCCAAAGCCCGGGAGAGAGGAAGUCUGCGCGUCCUCGCUGAGGCUCACAGGCUCUGGGUGUGCACACUGUCCUCAUCGUCCUCACGGAGGGAACGGGAACGGCUGGAAUCAUUCCGGAAUAAUUUUGUUUUUUAUUUACUAGUGAGUGACGUGCGAGGAGGGGCUUUGGAACAGACACAAACUCCACAGUGCAAGCCAGGGACUUCAGGCUUCAGCUUCCGAGUCUGGCCGAGCUGCACCGCAGGCGGAGGAUCUGCGGCUAAUGCAGGUGAGUGUGUAGGACUUCAAUGCCAUGACAGUCAUCGACCCAGUAGAACGCCAAGCAAUCGCAACUCUGGAGCAGGUCCUUGCCCUGUGGCCACCUCAGGAUUCUCCCGGCCGAGGGGACGUUGCUGCAGCCCUUGUGCCCUCCACACGGCUCCAGACUCAAGGCUUUGUCUCUCUCUAGUAGGAACAGGGGUUAGUGAGGUGGGCUCAGUCCACUGCCAAGUCCUGAUGACCAGAGGUUUCCCUUUCACUAUGCACAGCCCACGAAGAAGGGAGGGUCAGGGCCGACUGGCAGUAAAUCCAUGCUAUUCCGUCUGCUUCCUGAAAUGGGGACAAGGUCCCAACUGCCCUGCCCUCCUCUCUCCAAACUCCAUAGGAUUCUGGGGAUCCUAAUCAAAAACAUUUUUUUCCUUCCUGGGAAGGUUAAAAACUGCUGGGGCUGGGGACACAGCUCUGUGGCAGAGUGCUCGCCUCGAAUGUGGGAGGCCUGGCUUUGAUACCCAGUACCACACACACACACACACACACACAGCUUGAACAUAAAAACAAAAACCCUACAAAAAGGCCAAAUAAAACCCAAAGAAUAAC
rnacentral:lncRNA from 1 species